CCCUUAGAUGUUCUGGGCUGCACACGUGCUACACUGGCAGGUUCAGCGAGCUUCAUGCCCUGAUCUGAAAGGAAUGGGAAAUCUUUUCAAAACCUGCCGUGCUUGGGAUAGAUGUUUGCAAUUAUUCAUCUUCAACGAGGAUUGCCUUGUAAGCGCACGUCAUCAGCGUGCAUUGAAUACGACCCUGUAUUCUGUACACACCGCCCGUCGCUCCUACCAAUUGAAGUUUUCGGUGAGUUGACAGGAGGAUUUUUUUGAAACUGGUUCGCCAGUGGAUUUUAGAUCCAAAUGCCAACGAAUCGAUGGCUUUAGAGGAAGGAGAAGUCGUAACA
rnacentral:rRNA from 1 species